rnacentral:rRNA from 1 species
GACGAACGCUGGCGGCGUGCUUAACACAUGCAAGUCGAACGGAAAGGCCCUGCUUUUGUGGGGUGCUCGAGUGGCGAACGGGUGAGUAACACGUGAGUAACCUGCCCUUGACUUUGGGAUAACUUCAGGAAACUGGGGCUAAUACCGGAUAGGAGCUCCUGCUGCAUGGUGGGGGUUGGAAAGUUUCGGCGGUUGGGGAUGGACUCGCGGCUUAUCAGCUUGUUGGUGGGGUAGUGGCUUACCAAGGCUUUGACGGGUAGCCGGCCUGAGAGGGUGACCGGCCACAAUGGGACUGAGAUACGGCCCAGACUCCUACGGGAGGCAGCAGUGGGGAAUAUUGCACAAUGGGCGGAAGCGUGAUGCAGCAACGCCGCGUGCGGGAUGACGGCCUUCGGGGUGUAAACCGCUUUCGCCUGUGACGAAGCGUGAGUGACGGUAAUGGGUAAAGAAGCACCGGCUAACUACGUG